rnacentral:rRNA from 1 species
UAGGGAAUCUUCCGCAAUGGACGAAAGUCUGACGGAGCAACGCCGCGUGAGUGAAGAAGGAUUUCGGUUCGUAAAACUCUGUUGUUAGGGAAGAAAAAAUGUAUAGUAACUAUAUACAAAAGAGACGGUACCUAACCAGAAAGCCACGGCUAACUACGUGCCAGCAGCCGCGGUAAUACGUAGGUGGCAAGCGUUGUCCGGAAUUAUUGGGCGUAAAGCGCGCGCAGGUGGUUUAGAAAGUCUGAUGUGAAAGCCCACGGCUCAACCGUGGAGGGUCAUUGGAAACUAAUAAACUUGAGUGCAGGAGAGAAAAGUGGAAUUCCUAGUGUAGCGAUGAAAUGCGUAGAGAUUAGGAGUAACACCGGUGGCGAAAGCGGCUUUUUGGCCUGCAACUGACACUGAGGCGCGAAAGCGUGGGGAGCAAACAGG